rnacentral:tRNA from 1 species
CUUAUCAUAUAAAUCAUAUAGUCUAAUAAGGAUAUUAAAUUGCAAAUUUAAUGGUAACUUUGG